rnacentral:lncRNA from 1 species
UCUCAACCACCUUCUCUAGGAGCUUUACCCACAAUGCAGAAUAUAUGGCAACUGAAGCAAUGUGGAGCCUUGGUGAGAUCCCUGUGGAGUGCAUUUCGUAAACACAGUAACAAGUAGUGCACAGACUGGAGCAAGAACAUGGAAUAGCAUUGUCCUAUGUGAUACUGUGACCUCAAGAGAGAAGAUGUCUGCAUCACUGGGUGACUGAAUGAAACAGAACUCUACCAACCCACAAUCAGACUGUAAGAGAAGUGAGAAAUAAACUUGACAAAUAAAGGUAGGAUAUGGUUUAAAC